rnacentral:miRNA from 1 species
CACACCUCACUAACACUGACC